rnacentral:rRNA from 1 species
UACGGGAGGCAGCAGUGGGGAAUAUUGCACAAUGGGGGAAACCCUGAUGCAGCCAUGCCGCGUGUGUGAAGAAGGCCUUCGGGUUGUAAAGCACUUUCAGUAGGGAGGAAGGUAGUGUAGUUAACACCUGCACUAUUUGACGUUACCUACAGAAGAAGCACCGGCUAACUCCGUGCCAGCAGCCGCGGUAAUACGGAGGGUGCGAGCGUUAAUCGGAAUUACUGGGCGUAAAGCGCAUGCAGGCGGCCUGUUAAGUCAGAUGUGAAAGCCCGGGGCUUAACCUCGGAAUUGCAUUUGAAACUGGCAGGCUAGAGUCUUGUAGAGGGGGUAGAAUUUCAGGUGUAGCGGUGAAAUGCGUAGAGAUCUGAAGGAAUACCAGUGGCGAAGGCGGCCCCCUGGACAAAGACUGACGCUCAGAUGCGAAAGCGUGGGGAGCAAACAGGAUUAGAUACCCUGGUAG